CCUACGGGAGGCAGCAGUGGGGAAUAUUGGACAAUGGGCGAAAGCCUGAUCCAGCCAUGCCGCGUGUGUGAAGAAGGCCUUCGGGUUGUAAAGCACUUUCAGUGGGGAAGAAAGCCUUGGGGCUAAUACCCUCGAGGAAGGACAUCACCCACAGAAGAAGCACCGGCUAACUCCGUGCCAGCAGCCGCGGUAAUACGGAGGGUGCGAGCGUUAAUCGGAAUUACUGGGCGUAAAGCGCGCGUAGGCGGUCUGAUAAGCCGGUUGUGAAAGCCCCGGACUCAACCUGGGAACGGCAUCCGGAACUGUCAGGCUAGAGUGCAGGAGAGGAAGGUAGAAUUCCCGGUGUAGCGGUGAAAUGCGUAGAGAUCGGGAGGAAUACCAGUGGCGAAGGCGGCCUUCUGGACUGACACUGACGCUGAGGUGCGAAAGCGUGGGUAGCAAACAGGAUUAGAUACCCCAGUAGUC
rnacentral:rRNA from 1 species